ACAUCGCCUCUUGAACCCUUAUAAGAGGUCCAGCCUGCCCAGUGACUCUGUUCAACGGCCGCGGUAUCCUAACCGUGCGAAGGUAGCGUAAUCACUUGUUCUUUAAAUGUGGACUAGUAUGAAUGGCAUCACGAAGGUUAUACUGUCUCCUUUUUCUAAUCAGUGAAACUAAUCUCCCCGUGAAGAAGCGAGGAUAAAACUAUAAGACGAGAAGACCCUAUGGAGCUUUAAACAUUUAUAACACUUGCUAAAUAAAAUACAAAUUUCAGAAUUAUUUACUCUUUAAGCAACUUGUCUAUAAGUUUUUGGUUGGGGUGACCGCGGAGCAUAAUACAACCUCCAUGUUGAAAGAUCUAUUUCUAAGCUAAGAGCUACACCUCUAAGCAUCAACAUAUUGACAUCCAUUGACCCAAUAUAUUUGAACAACGAACCAAGUUACCCUAGGGAUAACAGCGCAAUCCACUUCAAGAGCUCCUAUCGACAAGUGGGUUUACGACCUCGAUGUUGGAUCAGGGUUUCCCAGUGGUGCAGCCGCUACUAAAGGUUCGUUUGUUCAACGAUUAAAACCC
rnacentral:rRNA from 1 species